AUGUUAACGAACCAAAUUAUUAACACACCACCUGCGAAUUUUCCGAACUCAGAAGUUCAGUUAAUAAAUAUUUACCGUUUGGAUAAUGAUACCAUGAAAGUAACAUUGUUGAAAUGACGCCAGCUGUAAAGCAAAAACUUCAGAGAGACGUCGAAUGAAAUGGUGAGAAGGAAGAGGAAAAUAAAAGAGAGUGAAAGAGGAAAGAAAAGGGUUUCAGUAAACGAUAGGGCUGGGCGUGCCCAAGGAGUCCAAAGAAAAAAAUGGCUACUGACGCAGAGAAGAUACAGCUAAAAUAAACCAUGAAAAGAAGAAUUAUCUACGACUCUUGAGAUAAAUCAAAUCAACAAACUUCUCUGCUCGCGCAAAAUCGGAAACUAAUUAAGAUUGUUUCUAAUAAUCAUUGAAAUUAAUAAAUUG